UGAUUCCAAGGAAGGGAUGAUGUUCUAAUUGAGACUCAAGAAAAGGAUUCUGAGCUUCAGAGCUUUGAAGGAGCCACUUGGUCACUGACCUUCCUUUGAGGCAAA